CAAGGACUGUGCAAUCAAAGAUGACUUUUAUUUUUUACUUGCAGGAUCUCGAAGGGAGAGUGCUCAUCCUAGAUUUGAAGACAACACUCUAAUCGACCCCACCUCCAUUGUGCUGGUUACUUAGUCUGCAUAUGAGGUACAAGACCCGAAAUUUUGGGAGAGGGGCCAAUCGAUUAAAUCGACCCAAGAACGCA
rnacentral:misc_RNA from 1 species